UGUCUGAGUGUAUUGUAUGUGUUAUUGGUUGUUCUGUAAAACCCUGUGGGCAGUACUAAGUUUGUGGAUUGGGAAUAAAAGACGCUGUAUGUGCCAGUCCAAUCAGUUCUGCUUGACCUCAAAACGAAGUGUCGUCUCGUUAUUGGGGGAAUUGGAUUGUAUGCUGAUUGCCAUGAGUGUAAGCUGAUUGUAUGCUUUUCCUGUUCAGCUGCUUAGAGCAUUCAUAUGCUUUAGAAUAUUCAUAUGUUUUCCGGUUCGGUGGUUGUGGUGUC